rnacentral:rRNA from 1 species
UGGUCUUAGCUUGCUAAGGCUGAUGGCGACCGGCGCACGGGUGAGUAACACGUAUCCUCGUUUGAGGCUACUCUUGGCCAGCCUUCUGAAAGGAAGAUUACUCCAGGAUGGCAUCAUGAGUUCACAUGUCCGCAUGAUUAAAGGUAUUUUCCGGUAGACGAUGAGGAUGCGUUCCAUUAGAUAGUAGGCGGGGUAACGGCCCACCUAGUCAACGAUGGAUAGGGGUUCUGAGAGGAAGGUCCCCCACAUUGGAACUGAGACACGGUCCAAACUCCUACGGGAGGCAGCAGUGAGGAAUAUUGGUCAAUGGGCGAUGGCCUGAACCAGCCAAGUAGCGUGAAGGAUGACUGCCCUAUGGGUUGUAAACUUCUUUUAUAAAGGAAUAAAGUCGGGUAUGCAUACCCGUUUGCAUGUACUUUAUGAAUAAGGAUCGGCUAACUCCGUGCCAGCAGCCGCGGUAAUACGGAGGAUCCGAGCGUUAUCCGGAUUUAUUGGGUUUAAAGGGAGCGUAGAUGGAUGUUUAAGUCAGUUGUGAAAGUUUGCGGCUCAACCGUAAAAUUGCAGUUGAUACUGGAUGUCUUGAGUGCAGUUGAGGCAGGCGGAAUUCGUGGUGUAGCGGUGAAAUGCUUAGAUAUCACGAAGAACUCCGAUUG